rnacentral:rRNA from 1 species
CGCGCCGUAGCUAACGCAUUAAGUGCCCCGCCUGGGGAGUACGGCCGCAAGGCUAAAACUCAAAGGAAUUGACGGGGGCCCGCACAAGCGGCGGAGCAUGCGGAUUAAUUCGAUGCAACGCGAAGAACCUUACCAAGGCUUGACAUUCACCGGACCGCCCCAGAGAUGGGGUUUCCCUUCGGGGCUGGUGGACAGGUGGUGCAUGGUUGUCGUCAGCUCGUGUCGUGAGAUGUUGGGUUAAGUCCCGCAACGAGCGCAACCCUCGUUCUAUGUUGCCAGCACGUGAUGGUGGGGACUCAUAGGAGACUGCCGGGGUCAACUCGGAGGAAGGUGGGGAUGACGUCAAAUCAUCAUGCCCCUUAUGUCUUGGGCUUCACGCAUGCUACAAUGGCCGGUACAAAGGGUUGCGAUACUGUGAGGUGGAGCUAAUCCCAAAAAGCCGGUCUCAGUUCGGAUUGAGGUCUGCAACUCGACCUCAUGAAGUCGGAGUCGCUAGUAAUCGCAGAUCAGCAACGCUGCGGUGAAUACGUUCCCGGGCCUUGUACACACCGCCCGUCAAGUCACGAAAGUUGGUAACACCCGAAGCCGGUGGCCUAAC